ensembl:lncRNA
GUCAGCCCCUCCCAGACUGUACUUGGAAGGUGAAGACACUCAUCAUUUGCCAGCAUGUUUCUGAGACUUUAUUUUUCUUCAUUUUCCAAAGAUGAAAACCAAGCAAAAAGCAGAGGCAUCAGUUUUUCUCUACAAGCUGACUUGUAGAAACAUUUGUAGAGACACUCCAACCAAUCCAGUGGAAGCAUUUCCUUUACUUGGAUGGAUGAACUCCAUUCAUUCAAGGAUGGUCAUGGGAACUGUCGGAGCCAAGGAGGUGCAAAGGUACUUUUGGUGAGCAUAAAGAGGUGCUGGCCAUGUGCAAUCCAGGUAUCAGGCCCUCACCAGACACUGGAUCUCCUGAUGCCUUCGUCUCAUAUGUUCCCAGUCUCUAGAAUUGUGAGAAACACAUGUUGAUUGUUUAAGCUACCCUGUCUAUAGUAUCCUGUUAUAGUGUCUUUAGAAGAAAACUAAUAAACUGAAUAUUCCUGUGAGUGAGGG